AGAAUAUUUAAUUAAAUUUAAAAAAAGAAAUUUUUUUUUUAUUAGUUUAUGUGAAUAAAUAUAUUUAAUUAUAGUGUAUUAGUAUUGUGAAAGAAGUUUUUUAUCUUAUUAAAAGAAAAAUUUAAUUUUUGUACCUUGUGUAUCAGGGUUUAUUAAUUAAAAAUUAUAGUUUUAAUUUUCUCGAAUUUAAAAGAGCUAUUAUUAUAUAUUUUUUAUUGUAAAAUAACUAUUAUUAAUAUAAUAAUAGAAAUGAAACGUUAUUCGUUUUUAAAUAUAUCUAGUUUUUUAAGAAAAAAAUUUAAUUUUAUUUUUAUUUAUUUAUUAAAUUUAAUUUUUAAUUUAAUAUUGAUAAAAUUUUAUAUUUAAGGGGAUGAGCUUUUAAAUAAAUUUACUUAAAUUAUAUGGAUAAUUUUUAAUAAAUAGGAUUAUAAGUUUUUAUUUUUGGUAGUGUUUUAUAACUAAUUAAAUUGUAAAUAAGAUUUUUAUGUAAUGUAGUGUUUUUUAUUAAAAUAUAAGUUUAAAUUAUUUAGAUUUAGGAAUAAUGAUAAAAUUAGUAUAAAUUUUUAUCUUAUUUUUAUAAGAUUUAGAGGUUAAGUAAAGUAACUCGGCAAAUUUGUUUUUCACCUGUUUAAUAAAAACAUGGCCUUUUGAUUUUAAUUUAAGGUCUGACCUGCCCAAUGAGUUUUUAAAUGGCCGCGGUAUUUUGACCGUGCAAAGGUAGCAUAAUCAUUAGUUUUUUAAUUGAAAGCUUGUAUGAAAGGUUUGAUGAGAAAACAGCUGUCUCUACUUAAAUUUUUUAGAACUUUAUUUUUAAGUUAAAAAGCUUAAAUAUUUAUAGAAGACGAGAAGACCCUAUAGAGUUUUAUACUUGGGAAAAUUAAAGUUUUUAGUAUUUUAAUAUUUAAUUUUUUAUAGUAUUUAAUUGGGGUGAUUGAAAAAUUUAAUAAACUUUUUUUAUAUGUGAACAUUUAUUUAUGAAUAAUUGAUCCUUUUUUAAAGAUUAAAAGAUUUAAUUACCUUAGGGAUAACAGCGUAAUUUUUUUUUAGAGUUCAAAUCGAAAGAAAAGAUUGCGACCUCGAUGUUGGAUUAAAAUUAAUUUUUGGUGUAGGAGCUAAAAAAUUAGGUCUGUUCGACCUUUAAAAUUUUACAUGAUCUGAGUUUAAACCGGUGUGAGCCAGGUUGGUUUCUAUCUCUAUAGUGUUAAAAUAUUUUAGUACGAAAGGACCAAAUAUUUGAUUGAGAAUUUAUUAUUUGAAUAAAAUU
rnacentral:rRNA from 1 species